UGGUUUUCCAGAUGAAGUUGAGGAGAUCUGAUAAGUUUACUUUCGUUAUCUCAUCCAAGCCAGUGAAAAAGUGAUCCCCGAGACAUUAAAAUAGCCUAACUUCAUAUUCAUAUGCUUCAUAUUAUUGGCAACUAUCGUGCCUCCUUCCAUGCAAGUAUAUCAACCGCACACCGAUGCAAGAAUUGCUGACUUUUGAAAGCAUAAAAGCUAUAAAUAUGUAUAAUGUAUAUAUUUUUUAAUACAUAAAACUUUGGAAAUUAAAUUUUAAGUUUUGAAAGAACACAAUAUGCUUUAAGACAUCGAUUGAGUCGAUCUGUAACUAAGGUAAAUAACGGGAAUGUUGGGAAUGCUUCGAAUUAGAUCAGCAUCUUAUUACGACAUUUUACAUCAGUAUUUUGGCAGCUAAUCUACAGUUUAAAUUGAUUACUGUAUUGCAAAAAAAUAUUUGGUAAAUUAAAAUUACAAUUUGCCCGAUGGAACCACAUAAGUAUCUAAUAAAUUCAAGCAUCCAAAUAAUAAUUUCGUCGGCAGUUCAUUUAUUUGUAAUAAAAACACUCGUCUUUAAUUUUAAAUCAUUGGAAUCAUGGUCAGCUAAUACCUAUAUUAUCUGACCGAAAUAUCAAAAUAUAGAGUUUCUUGACCAGCUUUAAAAAAAAUUUGUUUAAACUUAUAAGAAGUAACUCUUAUUAAACAAGUAUAAGACUUUGUAGUAACGCAUGUCACAUAAUUAUUGCUCAUAUUUAUCGUCAACAUAGAACGAAAUCACAAAACAAAGUUACUACCGAUGAAGGAAAUCAGAAUUACAAUGCAGUCAGCCUAAAUCGUACCUCUGCAAUAGUGAAAAGCGGCGCUGUAGCUCCAACUUUAACAAAAACAAAUAUGACGCUUCGUCUAAAGUCAACAAUGUACAAUAUUUAGAAUUCAACAGCAACAACAACAACAACAACAACAGCAACAACACCAACAAAUAAAAACAACGAUCGGAGGUACAGAAGGAAAGAGUUCAGUAACCUUUUCAACUAGAAAUGCACAACAUUUCUUAUUUUUUAUCUUAUAUUGUAGUAUUUAUUGAAAUUCCUGCAUAAACAUUUUUUACAUAAUUUUUCAAUUUCUGAUGCACCAUAGGCUCCACGAAAAAUCUCAAUGCAGCAAAGGUAAACAACAAUAGUAACUUAACAAACAACAACAGCAACACCAAAAACAACAUAAGUAACAACAGCAAUUCCAACUACAAUACAAUAAUAAAUAAGUUGUAUAUAUCCGUAAGAAGCAUACGUGCCCCCAGCACAAGUGUACACGAGUUGCACGAUCUACAAGCGCGGUCACAACGAAUGCGGUAAGAGAAUUGUUGGACUUACGCCGCAGAAGUCACUCCUUGAAUCAAUUUGUGGUAUAAGUCGAGUUAGUUUUCUCAAUCGAUUAAAUUGUAUCUUUCACAGUACAUCGACUCUGCUGACUUCGAUACGCAUGUCUCCUUAUUUUCAACACAUAAUUUCUUCAGCAUUCAAAAGCGUUUUCGAUAUGUGACAUGUGAAUUAUUCAUAGCAACCAAAAAACUAAUACUAAUUAAACAAUAACGAACGGUCAGAAUAUAUAUUUAUUUCAAUGCUGCUGUAGUAAAUGCGAUCGAGUGUAAUUAAUAUUAGAUAAGGUAGUAGAUAACGCCUAAAAUGUGGUGCACUUCAACUUUUUGAACCUACAACCUAAAAGCGAGAAAUGAAGUAUUUUUAUGAUAUAUUUGAUUUUAAUAAAGCUACAGCCCCAGACCUUUGGCUGUCACAGCUUGAAAUUGUAACUUAAAGUUAAGCUGUAAGUCAACGCUGAAUAAAAAUAAACAGUUCUAAAUUUAGAACUCAUAUGA